UACGGAGGGAGCUAGCGGUUAUUCGGAAUUACUGGGCGUAAAGCGCACGUAGGCGGCUUUGUAAGUUAGAGGUGAAAGCCUGGAGCUCAACUCCAGAAUUGCCCUUUAAGACUGCAUCGCUUGAAUCCAGGAGAGGUGAGUGGAAUUCCGAGUGUAGAGGUGAAAUUCGUAGAUAUUCGGAAGAACACCAGUGGCGAAGGCGGCUCACUGGACUGGUAUUGACGCUGAGGUGCGAAAGCGUGGGGAGCAACAGG
rnacentral:rRNA from 1 species